UCUUGAUUAGCUGCUGAGGCUAGUAGCCUUCCCAUUUAAGUCAACCUGCUGCAGAAGACUGCAGGUAGCUAACAGUUCUGCCUGAAGGCUUGCUGUGAUAAGCCUUUCUGGAUCUUGUUCUCUUUGGUUUACUGACUUCUGACCCUGUUUGGCUUUGCCUCUGGACUCUGGCUUUUGGGACCUCUGUCUUUGGUAAUUUGGCCCCUGACUCAGCUGUGAUUUGGACUCUGCCUCUGGAAUUGCCCUUUGGCUUUGGUAAUUUGGACUCUAGCUGUUGCACAGCCCACUUCCACAUAGCUCUGGGUCCCCCAUCUCUUGCCUUUAGACCUCUCCUGGUGGCCUACCCACUAGGCUGGCCUACCUAUGCCUUGGUCCUUGCAUCCUUCCUAUAGAUGAAUUUCAGGGCAAGUUCUUUCAGCUCGUAGGCAGCAGUAGUACAGGAGUACUAGGAGCAGGAACAAAGUUUGUCAUCCUAAGACACCAGACCUUUGACGAGGCUCAGGUAACCUCUGAGAGUGCAUAUGGUGCUAACAAAGAGUCCCUGUCAGCCUUUGUAGAAGACUGAGACUUCAGUCAGCAUUGACUUUCCAGAAGAUGAGGAAGUGUUGGUAAAGAGCUAGACUGUGGUUCUUCGGAUCUAUCAGUUCAUGGAGGAACAGAAGAAACUCAGCAUGCAGAAAAAAAAGAUAAAAACAGAAGGAGCGGCAUCCCAGAAGUUGUGAUCACACAGGCAGAUGAGACCUAGCUACUUUUCAGUUCCAAAGAUCUUGAGUGUGGAACCAGAGGUCAUAAGCUCUACUUCCCAUGCUACUGGUAGCUGAGGACUAUCCUGUCUCUGUGUCAGUAUGCAGUUAGGGAUUAUUUCAAUUCUCCACUGAUCACCCAAGAUGGAGAUACUACAGAGUUCACUGCAAGCAAGUUUUGCUUCUGUCCUUCAGGAUAUUGCACCAAUCCUCCCAUCAUCCUUAGUGCAAAUUAAUUCUAAGAAUCACCUGUGUCUUUUGAAGUACAUCUGUACCAAAACCAAUCUCUAGUGGAAGUUCAGUUCCUUAGAGCUUCCAGAUCUUUGCAAACAAGAAUUUACUUUUGAUCUGUUUUGCCUUCUCUUGUAUGAAACUGCAGUCAAAAAGCCAAGCCAAGCCAAGCCUUUCAUGAUAUUAAAAAGUGACAGAAGUAGGCCAUAGGACUAUACCACAUUCUAGUUAGAUUGCUGGUCACUCCAUUACUUUAAUAUGGGGCACUGAAAACCACUCUGUUGGACGAUCUAAACUGGGCAUUUGCAUCAGUUUCUCUCAGUUUUGCUGCAUGUGUAUGAUCACAUGAAAAUAUCUUUUAAACUCUAGUGAGUGAAUGAUUGUCUAGGUUAAAAGAAAGUUUUACAGAUCCAUUUUAAUGAAUUUGCAUCAUGUUCAACAAAAAAUUCAUCAUUUUUCUGAGUGGUUGGUUAGGCUAGUUAGAUUUCAGAGGUUUAUUUAGUCAUUAUUGGUCCUUAAAUACAGUCGUCAUCAUAAACGCCCCUCUGUUUCCAUUUACUCUGCAGAGGUCAAAAGAUGAGGUUGGUUUAUGAGCUUAUUCUGCCGUGUAUCACUAUAGGCAGUACAAUAGAACAGCAGGAUGGAUAGGCAGCACUCACCUCUCCAUUUAUUACUCUUGUCAACUUGGAAAGGAUUUUUUACCUUGUGAAAGGCCCAUCAGCAAUGAAUCAGUGAAGUGAAGACGACAGUUGAUUUGUGAAUUCAGAUUAUAUAAAGUGACUAGGCUUCCAUGGACUGUGUAGAUAAAGCAACUGUCAUGAUAAGGUGGCAUGUGCAAUUCCACAAAACCAAAUUUAUUGCACAUUUGAGGAAAUCAUCCUAUUUUAAAAUGCCAUAAAUUUGAAAUUGAAUAUUACUCAUACCCUUGAAUUUUGAUUUAUAUUUUGAAUAUUUUUAAUGUGAUGCUAAGUAGCAUAAAUUCAAAGCUAUGAGUUUAUGCAUUUCUUCUUUAAGGGUCAUUUUGACUUCUCCUCUGAAUGUGUUAUCAUUUCCUGUUAUUUUAUUCUAAGCAAAAAUAUCAUUUUAUUCUAUAUUUAAACUUAAUAUAUAUCAUUGGAAAGAUAACCCUGAAGUGGUCAGAGUGACACAGAGAGCAAUUAUAAAGAAAGAAGGCAGGCCACAAGUUUCCUUAAGCACAUAAGUGUAUGCAUAAAUAUCAUACAAUAUCUGUUGUCAAUACAAAUUACCAUGUUUAUUGGAGCCAUAAAUGUAUUAUCUAGGUGUCUAAUGCAAAUACAUUCACAAUUUCAGGGAAGCUCCUGCUCAUAGAAAAAUUUUGAACCCUUGUCUGGAAGCAUCCAUCUGUAGCCUGCUCUUGAGGCUUUUCUUUGCUUAUGACUGCAAAGCCCUUCCAAAGGGUGCUCAGAUUUGGAGAGUGACAGCUUGUUCUCAAAAUUGCAAGACUACCUGCAAGAUUUUUCAGUGCUGUCACAAAACACAAAGAUCAAGAAAAUAAUGUUUUAUUUGUAAUGGACUUGUACAUAUAAACCCUCUCUUAUCUGAUGUCACUUAAAUGAAGAGAAAAAGGGGACCUGGAGCAAAACACAAAGGAAAAUUAUGAGCAUCCAUUUUCUUCUAGGCAGAUAUGAAAAGUGUUGUGGAAAUAGACUGUGUUCUUUUUUAAAAGCUACCAAAUGGUAUAGGAUUAAUUAAAGGAAUAAGUGAUUCUUGCAAAGUACUUCAUGACAGCUUUAUGUUAAAUCAAAUUUUAGAUUAAGAAUUGUCACGGUGUGGUGUCCCCACGGAUGGUCAUGAUGCCCCUAGGGCUCAGUGACAGUGCCAAUUCUGCCCUCUUUCCUUGGGCAACUUAUUCUCACCUGCCAUGUCUUGCUGGUAUAAAUUAUAAUUAGGGAGACUGCCCAUGCGUGGUCAUGGUCCUGUUGGAUCUCACUAAACCCUGUGGGUUCUUGGACCCCUUGCUGGGUCCUAAUUUAAAGUUGGUGACUCACGGGGCAUCCCAAGCCUUAUGGGCUAGAUGCAUGAUUCCAAAACCUUCCCUUUAAUGCGCCCCAUGCCUUGCAGGUGGUAUAUAAGCAUUAUCUCCCUAAUACAGGCAGUCCUCGACUUAUGGCAGCUCGACUUGAGACAAUCUGCACUUGCGGCACUCCACAUUUUACACCCCUGUUAUUACUUACGGCACUGAUCCUUGCACUUAUGGCAGGCAACGGUAGAGGCACCAGAGCUGGCAUGGGAUACUUACCGGAGGUAAGCUCAGGCAGUGGCUCCUCCCUGAGGCCAUGUGCUCCCGGAGGUGAGACAGGG